GCGGCAGGCUUAACACAUGCAAGUCGAGCGCUCCGCAAGGGGAGCGCAGUGUAGCAAUACAUGGGCGGCGACCGGCAAACGGGUGCGGAACACGUACACAACCUUCCUACAAGUGGGGAAUAGCCCAGAGAAAUUUGGAUAAAUACCCCGUAACAUAGCGAUGUGGCAUCACAUUGCUAUUAUAGCUUCGGCGCUUGUUGACGGGUGUGCGGCUGAUUAGAUAGUUGGCGGGGUAACGGCUCACCAAGUCUACGAUCAGUAGCUGGUGUGAGAGCAUGAUCAGCCACACGGGCACUGAGACACGGGCCCGACUCCUACGGGAGGCAGCAGUAAGGAAUAUUAGACAAUGGACGCAAGUCUGAUCCAGCCAUGCCGCGUGAAGGAUAAAGGUCCUCUGGAUUGUAAACUUCUUUUAUAAGGGACGAAAAAAGGUCUUUCUAGAUCGUCUGACGGUACCUUAUGAAUAAGCACCGGCUAACUCCGUGCCAGCCGCCGCGGUAACAC
rnacentral:rRNA from 1 species